rnacentral:rRNA from 1 species
UACGAAGGGGGCUAGCGUUGCUCGGAAUGACUGGGCGUAAAGGGCGCGUAGGCGGCUCAUACAGUCAGAUGUGAAAUUCCUGGGCUUAACCUGGGGGCUGCAUUUGAUACGUGUGGGCUUGAGUGGGGAAGAGGGUCGUGGAAUUCCCAGUGUAGAGGUGAAAUUCGUAGAUAUUCGCAAGAACACCAGUGGCGAAGGCGGCUCACUGGCCCGGUACUGACGCUGAGGUGCGAAAGCGUGGGGAGCAAACAGG